AGCUUUGGAAUGGCAACUUUUUCUGGAGGAGGCAAUGUGUUUAUAAUUUUGGCAAUAUUUGGGAUUACAGGGUAGGUUGAUGUGUGUGUGGCUGUGGUCUGAUUUUUACGUACUGUUAGCAAAUUUUUUAAGUGUUCAACUUUGGCAUGUAUUUUUACCGAGUUGUUCCAUCUAUUGCAUUGCCGCUGAUGAGCAGCUUCAGUAGUUCAGCCUUUCUGGCUUUUAAUCUUUUUACCACGCCACUUCGUUUGGCACACAUCACACUCUACUCUAGAGGUGCAGAAACAUCGAGUGAAACAUCGAUGUUAUCGGAACCAUCGAUGGUUCGUGACCACCAUCGAUGUUUUCACAAACAACUCUGCGCUCGGUGAGAAAAAUUUGUAAGUAAAUGAAUUUCUUAUUGUUUUUUCUAAAAACUAACAAAAUUGUUGAUAAUACUUAGGAUUUCUAGUUGAUGGUGUUGGUGGGCGUUGAUGGAUGACGAAGGCAAGAUGGAGAAUUACCUGAAAAGGACAACGCAUUAACCGGGCGGGGAGGGGACCGGCGACACCCGGACCCCCAUUGCCCCAGACAUCUACACUUCGGUCCCGCCGGCACCUGGCCAACAUGCUGAUCGCAUCGGCAGUGAUCUUCAUAGCCUGCUGGUCCCCACUCAUCUUUUGCAUCUUCUACAAAAACUUCGGCAGCAGUUCAGCCAGAUCUCCGUUUACGUAUGCCUCCUGCUGGGCUACUUCUACUCGGUCAAUAGUCCGGUGAUCUACUGGGCCCUGAACCACAAUUCGCUUCGACAAUCACCCUGCGCACCCAUCAUCCGCCUGCGAUCCAUGCAAAACUUCCUGAGGUCGCGCUUCCGGACUUACACUGCCCCGGCACCUCCAUCGUCCACCAACGAGGCGGCCUUGGGUGCCUUCAACCCCAAGCUGACACCAAAACAGUAUAGAGCUCAUGACUCUUCGCAUUAUUUCUACUAGUGUGAUACUAAACUUAUCUUCAUAUACAUAUGCCUUUAUAUACUCG